rnacentral:lncRNA from 1 species
AGCAUUUUUACUACACAAAAGCUCCACUCUCUUUUCUGAAAAUUCAUAUUCCAAAAAAUCUUUUAAAAUUUUUUUAAAACCUCUCAUUUUCUUAUUCUUUGCAAGUUUAAAAACUGGUUUGAAAAAUAGAGAGUUUUUCUUGGUCUAUUAGUUGGGAUUUCUGGGUUCAGCUGGUUGGUUUUGGGGUCUGAAGUUUUGAUUCAUUUAGGGUUGCUGAAGUUGUGUUGUUUGUUGCUGCUUUUCUGUGCUUCUGAAGUUUUCCCAGCAUUUUUCUUUCUUUCCUUUUAUUUGCUAUUUCAAGGUACACAUAUUUCUCCCAUGUUUAAGUGUUUUGUAAAUGGAGUUUUCAAGAUGAAUACAAAUUAAUCUUUGUUCUUACCCGUGCUUAGAUAUUUGUAGGUUCCUUGCUUUAUGUUGCUAUCAUGCUGAAAUUUUCUGUCUUAAGUGAAUGUUUUUCCUUGUUCUUUUUGGUCCUUAUCAUGAGUAUGUAUACUUUUGCAUGAUGCUAGCAUUAUUGGUUGUGUUCAUUUCAGUUUAUACACAUUUCUUUUGUUACAUUGGUCAUGUAGUUUGUUCAUUAAGUGUAACCCUCGUAUGUCUAGACUCAUAGAUUAAACUGCUUUCCCCUUUUCCCUUGGGCCAUCCUUGUAGCAUAGGUUUAAGGCUUUUGUUGGUUCAAUGAGUUUAACCUUUCAAAUGUGGUUAAACCAAUGGAUCACUUUAUUUGGCAUUGAUUGAAUUCUUUUCUUUUUCUUGAAAAUAGUAUGGUUCAAGAUUAAUUUUACAUCAAGUCGUCUCUUCUUCUCUUCUUGUCAUACGUAGUAUGAAGUUAUUUAGGAUUUAUUUGUAGACUUUGAACCAACACCUAUAAAUUUGGCUACUAGUUGACCAAAUCAGUAGUUCCAAAGGCCUAAAAAUCCAGAAUUCAUCUGUCCAAGCCUGCUGCAGUUCAGUGUUAUUCACACUGAGAGGUAUGGUUCUUUUUGGAUAAACAAUGUCCAAGAGAAUCUGUGUUCAUUGGUUAUAUGGGGUUUGUACUAGUUUAGUUGGUUUAGAUUAGUAUUUAAUGUAUUUAGUAGGAUUACUAUGUAAUAAUUCUAUUUUUCUUGAAAAUUUGUAUUUUGAUGAGGAAAAUUAUAAUAAGUGAGACUUUAAUUUUGCUUUAAGUCAUUGAUAGGACGACCAUGAAAUUCUCGUAAGUAUUGGCACAAUGGGCUAGAUUGUGAUCCCAAUCCGUAAGGGCUACUUUCAUUUGGAAUAAGGCUGAAUUUAAAGCCCCGAAUGGAUUUGAUCAAAGAAAAGGAAUUUGUACCUAGGCUAUUGGGGCUGGGUCUUGAGCCCGAAUCCAAGCUUUUUCAUUUUUAUAAAUCAUGUUUCAAGUGUAUGCUUCUCAUGCUUUGCAAAUUAUGUGGCUAACUUUAAAACUGGAUAGCAAUUUGAUUUUCAUGCUCU